CAAGUGCCAGCCCCCGCCUGCCCAGCAGUGUUAGGGGAGUUUCCGGCUGCUCUGCACACAGUUGGUACUGCAGGAAAGAAAGCUGCCUUGUAAACACAGGCCAGGGCACCGUGGAAAUGGGGACCAGCUGCUCUGGGAGGGUGCAGCUAGCAGAGCUGUGCAGCGCCAGGCUGGGUAGGAGAGAGCCAUGCUACCCACCCGCACCCCUACUGCUACGAAGCCCCCAGAAUGGGUCAUUGUUGGUGCUCAGCAGUCCUCUCCCUCGGGGAUGAUAUCCAAAAUAUCAACUGCGAAGACUCGGGCAGACCAAUCAGAAUAGAUGAUGGCCUGAGUGCUGGACCAGAGGCCUCAGAGCAGGGACCCGGGUGGCGGGGCAGUAGGAGACACUUAAGGGACUCAGGGCUAUGGCUGUUUACUAACCAGCAGUGCCUCUUACUCAGAUGGCAUCAGCUGAACUUUCCCCAUCAUUUCUAGUUGGUCCCCACCCUGCCACCAUCUAGGGGCUUCUCUGCCACCACCUUGUGAGCAGUUGCUAGCCUCACACUCCUCUCCCAUCAGGGGCUCAUCUCCAAAAGGCUGGGAGCUCCCGCCCUGCCCAGUUAAUCCUCCUGCCUCACUGAAGCACAGGAAGGACCCAGGCCCCAGACCAUCACCCACCCCAGGGCUGGGCCCUGGGCCACUCCUGGCUCACUCCAGGGCCCCUGUUGUUUGAAGAUGGUACCAAAGGCUGGAAGACUCUUGCUAGGGAAGAUAACGUAAAUGCAUUCAAAAGACAGGGUACCACAUGAUGCUAGGGAAAGUGCGUCAUGACCGCAGGGUAGCAGCCUGCUCCUGUCACUAGGGAUGUGAAUCUGGGGAGACACUUCCCCUCACUGAGCCAUCUGUAAAAUGAGAGCAUUGGACUGGGUGAGGCAGGCUGUGCAAAACACUUAUACACCUUAGUCCCAUGAGGAAGGAGUAUUCCCCCUGCAUAUUUUGGGGGGAAACUGAGGCUCAGGGGGAUGAAGUACUUUGCUCAGGGUAACACAGCCAGGAAGGAGCAGAGCAAGGCCAUGAGCUUUGGAUUUUUCUGUUUCCAAUGUCUCCUCUACCGUGCUCAAUUAGAUGAUGAGAAACAGUUGGUGUCUGAUGCUGGCCAAUAAGAGAAAAGAAAGCUCAAGUGGGCUGGGGCUGUCAGGGAGGGCUUCAUGGAGAGGCUGUCUUGAAAAUGACAGAGGUCAAAAGAAAGGUCACUCCAAGACGCAGCUGCCAGAAUGGUCCAACACAGUGAGGAGUUGUGUCUGGAUGGGCCAGUGGAACGGGGGAAGUGAAGGUUGAUAUAAGUGGAGGUUGAGGCAGUUUAGGCGUGAUGUACAGUCCAGCCACAGCAGGUUCUUGAGCAGGAGGGUAGCAUAGUGAGCAUCAGGUUCUAGGAAGAAGCACCAGUUCAGCCAUCAGAUGGGGCAGGAUGCCUCCCAGCUACUCCUCUCCCCGAGAAGGAAUUGCCCCCGGAGCGGCCCUCAUUUAUUCCAGGAGAAGCCAGGCCCUGCUGCUUCAGUUUCCAUCCUCACUGACGCAGAUAAUCCAAAGAGUCACUUCAGCUGCUUGGAACAGCAGGGUUGGGUCUUGUGCUACCUGAUUCUUAAUUUGGCUGAUGUCUACCCCAUUUCCUCCAGGCUUCUCUAGAGGUGGCAGGGGUGGGGUGGGGAGAAAGCUGCCAGACACCAAAGGAGCUGAGCCUGGCGGGGGCGGGCGUGCGGGUGGGCAUGAGAAAUUGCUCAGGAAACCCAUCCCUGCCCUGGUCACCCUAGUCCUGGAGAGAUCACCCAGACAUGUUGGAAUGAGUCUGGGGUCCUGUCUUUUCCAAUAAUGUGUUAUCCUGGGGAAACCCAGAGGGAAGUUGAGGGAGCCCCACUGUGCUGUGUGAUGCUACAUACGCAUGCGAAUACACCACCGGGUGGCCUUGACCCAGCCUUCUGCAAAAUGGCUUCUGCCAUCAAACUUAAGGUGGAGAAUGGUCUUGCAGCUGCCAGUUUUUCCUUCAGAGAAACUAAGGUCAGAGUGUUGGCUGCAGAAAAGGACUUGGCCUUUGUCACAUAACAGGAAAGAGAGUCAACUCCGGGCACACCCCCUCGGAGGCUAAUCUCAGGAGGUUGGAACCACAGGGAUUGCAAUAAUCGCUGAAUACUUACCAUAUGCCAGGUGCCAAAGCAUUAUCCUCUCCACUUUAUGAGUGAGGAAACUGAUUCCCAGAGGUGAUUCCCAGAAGAUUCCAACCAGGCCAUCUGUCUGUAGUCCUUCCUUCCCACCUCCUGGGAUUUCUCAAAAUGUUUGCCAUCGCCCACCUGUAUCAGAAUCUCCUGGGCUAUUUAUUGUUUAACUUGCAGACUCCUGGGCGCCACCCCAACCCCCUAAAUCAGAAUCCCUGGGGUUGGGCCCAAGAGUCUCCAUUUUUUGACAAGCUCCUCCAGGAGAUUCCUCCAGACAUGGAAAUCCUCACUUGACUCUUCCCCCAUAACAAACUGCCCUGAUGUCUGCAGAGAGAGGGUCUGCUGUAGACAGGGAUUAAGAAAAAGCAGGACAUUUUCAGAUAGGAUGCCCAAACCCAGACGCAGAUUAGGACCCAUGAAGUAGGGGGUAGAGCUGACCCUCAGGAAUGUGCCCAGACAGAGCUAAGCUUUCAGGAAAAUUAGAAAGACCCUCAGACCCAGAGUCUGUCUGAGUUUAGCUUCGCAGCAUGAAGGCUGCCUUGAGAAAGCUGAUAUAACAAGAAGCAGCAGAAAUUUAAUACUUUGGAGGGGCCCAGCAACCCACUCAGGGCCACCCUGGGAGACCCCACAGACCCCAAGGCUAUGGUCCAGACCUGUUCACUCAACACCUGGCCAGGCGGGGCCUCCAGCUGGACCUAGAGCUACAGAUGCCCCACCACCACUACCAAGCCCGGCUACCCAGACCAAGACACGGCUUUUCCUGGAGGAGAGAGAGAGCAAAGGCCCUGUCUCUACCCAAGACCUAACGGCCCCUGUUGAAGGAGAGGGAGCAGGAGAGGGAGGAGGGAGGAGGUCACAGCCAGGACCACAUACACUCUUGGGGGCCCUGCUGAGACUGCAAGAGUCAUGAAUUCUAACGUUCCACAGGUGAAAGAUUCCAAGAUUCUAGGAUUGCAAAACCCCAUCAUUCUAAGAUUCCAAUGGAAUGAUUCCAUGUUUCUAAGAUUCCAUCACACUAUGAUUCUAUGCUGCUAAUUCUUGAAAUUUCGAGUCUCAUUGUUCGUUGCUGUUCCCCAGACCUGUGGGCCCUAGCAUUUUUUUAAAAGCACAAAAAAAAAAGAGCAAGAAAGAGAGAAAGAGAUGGGGAGGGAGACAGCUGAAAACAGAUACUAAGAAAAGCUCCAUCCCUUGGAUCUGAGUUACAGAUGCACCUUGGCAAGGGCCAAAGACCCUCCUUUUGAGUGGGGUGCAGAACGUCUUUCCCUGGUAGAGUGGCAGAAUUGCAUGCAUCAGGCCUUCCUGGGGGUAAAAGGGGCUGGCUGUUCCAGGCUACAGCUGAGUAAAGCCCCACACAGGCCACAGUGCCCACUGGCUGGUGGACCUAGGAACCAAGCAGGGCCCCACUGGCUCAGUCUGGGGAGGGACUCAUCUGGGGUGGAAUUUCCCUCCCUGCAGCAAGGAAGCUGCAGGGCCAGGAAUUUGCCUUGGGAGACCCCCACUGAGGAAUAUUUCCGAAGCAGAACCCCUUCCUAUUCAGAGCCAGAGUCUUAACACUGGACAACCACAGGGUGUUGCUGCAAACUCCAGAGCCAGGUGCCUUCCCUCUGACAUUUGGGACAUAGCUUCCAUGGCCACACAGCCUUCGCCCCCUUCCAAGACCCCCCUUGACCUUUCUAAUCUUAGUCACUGCCUUCCAGAGCUGGGAGGCCACACGGCAGAGGUGCCUGUGAAUCACUCCGUCAUCAGCCUGGCCGCUUUCCCCUCUGUGGAGAGGGACUCUGAUGGGCAGGGGGCACCAAGUUGAGCCUCUGAGGCUGGCCCAGCAUAGGCCAGGCAGGGACAUUCACUCACAACCAGCCUUUUUGGACUCUAGAGAAGAGUAAUUACCACUUGGUCAUGCCCAGCCCCCAAAUCAUAAUCAUAGCUGCUAUUUCUUGAGUGCCAGCAAUGUGCCAGGCACCGUGCCCAACUUUUUAUACACAAUGUCUUGCCUAAUCCUCACACCUCUGUGAGACAGGUACAAUUAUUACUCCCAUUCCACAGACUAGCAAACUCAGAGACGUGACAUGGUGGCUCUCCCAGGUCACACAGCCAGUAAGUGGCCUCUGACCCCAGUACCCCCCACUUAAUCACCAUGCUAUGCUGCUACCAGUGGUACACACUCAGCCCCUCUCCACUGUCAGAUCCUUUGCCAGUCAAAUCCCAGAUCCCCGGGGGGGCACUGUGGCACCCUCUUUGAGCGUGGCCUCCCUGGAGCUGCUGUCAGAGCCAUGGGCUGUGGGAGUGAGUGUGCACACUCCUUCUCCUGAAGUGUCUGCCCCAGCCUGAGCUAUGCAGACCGGAGCUCUCAACCAGGGUAUGGGGCUGUCUGGCAGGGUUUCCCAGAACCCUGUUUCCUGUGGUCAUAAAUAUGGGUUUUCCUGACAAUGUUGGGAGGUCAGGGACUGAUACAGCUGGGGUUCCAACCGCCGUGGGUCAGACCUGGCUCCUCCGGACCCCACUGCUGUGACCAAGGAAAUCUCACCAGCUGUGUCCAAGAUCAACCCUGACCCUGUUACUCCAAUGCCUUUGUAGGAGUAUUUUUAGCAGAACCGUUUUUUUCCCAAAAUAAAUGUGAAUUGUAAAAAUUA
rnacentral:lncRNA from 1 species